rnacentral:rRNA from 1 species
AGGAUGAACGCUGGCGGCGUGCUUAACACAUGCAAGUCGAACGAGAGAGGAUCGGUGCUUGCACUGAUCCAAUCGAGUGGCGGACGGGUGAGUAACGCGUGGGUAACCUGCCUCAUACAGGGGAAUAACAGUUGGAAACGGCUGCUAAAACCGCAUAAGCGCACAGUAUCGCAUGAUACAGUGUGAAAAACUCCGGUGGUAUGAGAUGGACCCGCGUCUGAUUAGCUAGUUGGUGAGGUAACGGCCCACCAAGGCAACGAUCAGUAGCCGGCCUGAGAGGGUGAACGGCCACAUUGGGACUGAGACACGGCCCAAACUCCUACGGGAGGCAGCAGUGGGGAAUAUUGCACAAUGGGGGAAACCCUGAUGCAGCGACGCCGCGUGAGUGAUGAAGUAUUUCGGUAUGUAAAGCUCUAUCAGCAGGGAAGAUAAUGACGGUACCUGACUAAGAAGCACCGGCUAAAUACGUGCCAGCAGCCGCGGUAAUACGUAUGGUGCAAGCGUUAUCCG